rnacentral:rRNA from 1 species
GGGUACCUGCAAUCCUGGAGGUGCCAGCAGCCGCGGUAAUACGGAGGAUCCGAGCGUUAUCCGGAUUUAUUGGGUUUAAAGGGAGCGUAGGCGGGUUGUUAAGUCAGUUGUGAAAGUUUGCGGCUCAACCGUAAAAUUGCAGUUGAUACUGGUCGUCUUGAGUACAGUUGAGGUAGGCGGAAUUCGUGGUGUAGCGGUGAAAUGCUUAGAUAUCACGAAGAACUCCGAUUGCGAAGGCAGCCUACUAAGCUGCAACUGACAUUGAUGCUCGAAAGUGUGGGUAUCAAACAGGAUUAGAAACCCUUGUAGUCCAGAAGUGGCUUCCAGUUAA